CUUGAGUUUGUGGUGUUUUUGAACUUAAGUUGGUGGUGUUUUUGAACUUGAGUUUCGUGUUUGAAAUUUAGUUUGUGGUUUUUUUGAACUUGAGUUUGUGUCGUGUUUGAACUUGAGUUUGUGGUCUUUUUGAACUUGAGUUUGGUAUUUUUGAAGUUGAGGAUGUGGAAUUUGUUGUACUUGAGGUUGUGGAAAUUGUUAAACUUGAGUUUGUGUUUUUGUUGAACUUGAGUUUGUGUCGUGUUUGAACUUGAGUUUUUGUGUUUGUUGAACUUAAGUUUGUGUUGUUUUUGAACAUGAGUUUGUUUCAUGUUCGUACUUGAGUUUGUUGCGUUUGUUAAACUUGAGUUUGAGUGGUUGUUGAACUUGAGGUUGUGGCAAUUGUUAAACUUGAGAUUUGGUUGUUGGUUGAACUAUAGUUUGUGUCGUGUUUGAACUUGAGUUUGUUUUGUGUUUGAACUUGAGUUUGUGGUUUUAGUUGAACUUGAGUUUGUGUCGUGUUUGAACUUGAGUUUUUGUGUUUGUUGAAAUUAACUUUGUGUUGUUUUUGAACAUGAGUUAUUUUUCAUGUUUGAACUUGAGUUUGUGGCGUUUGUUGAACUUGAGUUUGUGUGGUUGUUGAACUUGAGGUUGUUGCAAUUGUUAAACUUGAAAUUUGGUUGUUGGUUGAACUAUGGUUUGUGUCGUGUUUGAACUUGAGUUUGUGUCGUGUUUGAACUUGAGUUUUUGUGUUUGUUGAACUUAACUUUGUGUUGUUUUUGAACAUGAGUUAUUUUUCAUGUUUGAACUUGAGUUUGUGGCGUUUGUUGAACUUGAGUUUGUGUGGUUGUUGAACUUGAGGUUGUUGCAAUUGUUAAACUUGAAAUUUGGUUGUUGGUUGAACUAUGGUUUGUGUCGUGUUUGAACUUGAGUUUGUUUUGUGUUUGAACUUGAGUUUGUUUUGUGUUUGAACUUGAGUUUGUGUCAUGUUUGAACUUGAUUUUUUGGUGUUUUUGAACUUGAGUUUGUGAUGUGUUAUUGAACUUGAGUUGGUUUCGGAUUUGAACUUGAGUUUGUUUCGUGUUUGAA